GCUAUAUAACUAAGCAGAAGAUGCAGAAGCUAUAAUAUUUGCCACGUGCUCUGUAGUUCAUUAUUGGCUCACCAGCAAAAUGAAGAUAUGAUGCCCCCAACUCCUGAUGAAUUUCCAGAAAAUGUCACUAAAAUUACUACUCUGAAGUGAGGAGACAGAAAAAUAAAAGACUAAUAUUUUUCUUGUUCUAAACAGAUUUGAAGAGGGAAGUCAAGCCAACGGUGAACAUCAAGGAUGGAAUAAAAAAGAACCUCAGCUUACAUUUUGUGUGGGGAAAAAAGUUUAGGCCAAUGGCCUCACAGAACAUCCUGUAAAAUAUUCGUGGUUUUGAACUUUGAUACCUAUACGUUCCACAUAUCCAACAUAUUUUUCCUGUAUGAGUAUUUGUGAGCCCAUCAUCCUGGAACUGAAAGUUGAAUCCCAAAUGUUUUUAAGCAGAGUAUAAAAAGCAGAGUAUAGGGCACCUGGGUGGCUCAGUUGGUUAAGCGACUGCCUUCGGCUCAGGUCAUGAUCCUGGGGUCCUGGGAUUGAGUCCUGCAUCAGGCUCCCUGCUCGGCAGGGAGUCUGCUUCUUCCUCUUACCCUCCCCCCCUCUCAUGUGCGCUCUCUCUCUCUCUCAAAUAAAUAAAUAAAAUCUUUAAAAAAAAAGCAGAGUAUAGAAAUCUUUGCCUUUGUAAACAAGAUAGCUGAAUUUAAAAUGGGGAAAACAAAUUGAGAACAAAUCUGUUUUUAUAGCUAAAUCUAUAGUCUGCAUUAGUUAUGUAACA